rnacentral:piRNA from 1 species
UCGGCCCCUGUUCCACUUUUCCUUGCGCA